rfam:Clostridium aceticum strain DSM 1496, complete genome.
UUGAGGCGAUGAAGCGAAAGGUUGCCUGCAAGGGAAAUUUUCGUGGAGAAAUGUCUAGAUCUAUGAAUCGGGCGACAA